GAUUUGAAAAUACUAUUCUCUUGACCGCAUCUCUAAAGAGAGUCAUUCACUAACAUUAUUCAUUUUGGAAACCUGAAUGUGCAAAGCUUGCAUCAGAGUGUAAAAGUUUCAAUCACAAGUUUUUUUUAAUAAUUUCUUUGUUUUUUUAAAAAAAAUUUAAACAUUUUAAUUUGAUAGUAAAUACAAAUCUCAAAACUUCGAAAAUUGGUCACGCAAUUGUUGAGGCCCAAAAAAUCCACGCUUCG
rnacentral:lncRNA from 1 species